GAGUUUGAUCCUGGCUCAAAACGAACGCUGGCGGCGUGCCUAACACAUGCAAGUCGAACGAGAAAGUCCCCGCAAGGGGAUAAGUAAAGUGGCGAACGGGUGAGUAACACGUAGGUAAUCUGCCCUCCAGCCCGGAAUAACUCUGCGAAAGCGGGGCUAAUACCGGAUGAAAUCCUCGGGGCGCAUGUCCGGAGGAUCGAAGGUGGCCUCUGAUUCAAGCUGUCACUGGAGGAUGAGCCUGCGUCUGAUUAGCUUGUCGGUAGGGUAACGGCCUACCAAGGCAAUGAUCAGUAGCCGACCUGAGAGGGUGAUCGGCCACACUGGAACUAAGACACGGUCCAGACUCCUACGGGAGGCAGCAGUGGGGAAUAUUGCGCAAUGGACGGAAGUCUGACGCAGCAACGCCGCGUGGGUGAGGAAGGCCUUCGGGUUGUAAAGCCCUGUCGGGUGGAACGAAUAAUACCCCGAGCGAAUAACUCGGGGGAAUGACGGUACCACCAAAGGAAGCCCCGGCAAACUACGUGCCAGCAGCCGCGGUAAUACGUAGGGGGCGAGCGUUGUUCGGAAUUACUGAGCGUAAAGAGCGCGUAGGCGGUCAGAUAAGUCAGGCGUGAAAUCCCUCAGCUCAACUGAGGUUAUGCGCUUGAAACUAUCUGACUUGAGUUUAGGAGAGGAGAGUGGAAUUCCCAGUGUAGCGGUGAAAUGCGUAGAUAUUGGGAGGAACACCGGUGGCGAAGGCGGCUCUCUGGACUAAUACUGACGCUGAGGCGCGAAAGCUAGGGGAGCAAACGGGAUUAGAUACCCCGGUAGUCCUAGCCGUAAACGAUGGGCACUAGGUGCGGGAGGUAUCGACCCCUUCCGUGCCGCAGCUAACGCAUUAAGUGCCCCGCCUGGGGAGUAUGGUCGCAAGGCUGAAACUCAAAGGAAUUGACGG
rnacentral:rRNA from 1 species